GAUGAACGCUGGCGGCGUGCCUAAUACAUGCAAGUCGAGUGAACAGAUAAGGAGCUUGCUCCUUUGACGUUAGCGGCGGACGGGUGAGUAACACGUGGAUAACCUACCUAUAAGACUGGGAUAACUUCGGGAAACCGGAGCUAAUACCGGAUAACAUAUUGAACCGCAUGGUUCAAUAGUGAAAGGCGGCUUUGCUGUCACUUAUAGAUGGAUCCGCGCCGUAUUAGCUAGUUGGUAAGGUAACGGCUUACCAAGGCAACGAUACGUAGCCGACCUGAGAGGGUGAUCGGCCACACUGGAACUGAGACACGGUCCAGACUCCUACGGGAGGCAGCAGUAGGGAAUCUUCCGCAAUGGGCGAAAGCCUGACGGAGCAACGCCGCGUGAGUGAUGAAGGUCUUCGGAUCGUAAAACUCUGUUAUCAGGGAAGAACAAAUGUGUAAGUAACUGUGCACAUCUUGACGGUACCUGAUCAGAAAGCCACGGCUAACUACGUG
rnacentral:rRNA from 1 species